rnacentral:rRNA from 1 species
AGUGAACGCUGGCGGUAGGCCUAACACGUGCAAGUCGAACGGCAGCACAGUAAGAGCUUGCUCUUACGGGUGGCGAGUGGCGGACGGGUGAGGAAUACAUCGGAAUCUACUUUUUCGUGGGGGAUAACGUAGGGAAACUUACGCUAAUACCGCAUACGACCUACGGGUGAAAGCAGGGGAUCUUCGGACCUUGCGCGAUUGAAUGAGCCGAUGUCGGAUUAGCUAGUUGGCGGGGUAAAGGCCCACCAAGGCGACGAUCCGUAGCUGGUCUGAGAGGAUGAUCAGCCACACUGGAACUGAGACACGGUCCAGACUCCUACGGGAGGCAGCAGUGGGGAAUAUUGGACAAUGGGCGCAAGCCUGAUCCAGCCAUACCGCGUGGGUGAAGAAGGCCUUCGGGUUGUAAAGCCCUUUUGUUGGGAAAGAAAAGCAGCAGGCUAAUACCCCGCUGUUCUGACGGUACCCAAAGAAUAAGCACCGGCUAACUUCGUG